GCAAAUUCCUUUUUAACAGGAGUAGAGCCCCAGCUGAUCUCAAAUUUUUAUUACAAAAGUUUUCAGAGAUCUACCAUCCUUGAUCCUUCAACAUCUUUUACCAAGGUGAACUGGAAACUAAUGAAGCCACCCAAGGUCUCUCAGGCUUUGGAUUUUAAAUGAGAUAUUUUCUGUUGCUACCCCUUGUCAACACUGCACUGGAAGGAAAAAUUCAUUAUGGAGUGACAAUUUCAGUUUUCCUCUUAGCAACAACUUCUGGCAGUUUCAACAGAGGUCAGGACAGUGACAAACAGGACAGUGGAAAUCUGCACAUAAAUGGACUAAGACUUUACAAGGAUCCUUCAAGCAUGAAAUAGCAUUUGAGAGAGAAAAAUAAAUAUUUCCUGCAGGGGAUAUCUUCCUUCAUACUGAAAUAAAGAAGAAAAUGAAAAAUCAGUUGAUCUGUAGAAGGUCUGUUAUCAAGUUAUUUAGUAGUCACACACUGGUAGCUGAUUGAUAAAGCAUGAAAAAAGCAACCCAAACCUGAAAGCAGGACAUACAAAGGUAAAGAAACCUCUGUUCUGUAACCUAGUUGCAUUAAGCCAAAAGAAAACUCGAGGUGAAUGAUAUCUCCAAUUCUCAAAAGAUCAACUCAGCAUACCUGUUUCACUCUAAACCAGGAAUGUCUGAGAGGUAAGAUUUUAAACAGUGAUUUAUUCUUGCCUUUGAGUGUUGAGGUACAAGACUAUAUUGGGAAAUAAAAAAACUUGUGAGGCUUUCAGGGUUGCACUGAAUGAUAUUUUGUUUACAGGGAGCUGGAGAGAGCACAAUUUUUCCAAACUCUAGAUUUGAUGGAAAGCUUUUAAAAAUAGAGUUACAUUUUUCUGACUUGUUUCGGGUAUAUUUUUCAAUAUAUUUGCAUUUACUACUGAUUUAUACACAUUAGUGCAAUAUCUUUAGUGUACUGGCUGUUGGAGAGCUUCUUUAAGCAUCUGCUGAUUUAGAAUUUGUAUCUGGUAAAUGAAACCUUUAAACACAUGUUGAAAGGGCCUGUAAUCUCACAGGUUCUACUCAUCUUUUGAGUUUGUACCCUCCUAAUUAAUUUUUCCAUAUUUACUGAGGGCCUGUAAACAAGACCAAAAUGAAUGUACAACCUGCUCUACAUCCUAGUCUUCUCUCUGAUCAUGCUUAGUGGCACUACAGAAAAAGGUAACUUGAUGAAUGUAUAAAUCCAAAAUGUGGAAAAGGUAUUUAGCCUAGAUAACUUAUGCAAUAGAACUGAUAUUUAAAAGGCAGCUUAUGAGUUUCCUAAUUUAUGUACAAACUGGCACUUUGAAGUUGAAGACACUCUAUCAAUCUGUCUAGUACAAACUUGGGAUUCUGUGGCUGCCCUUAUGCAGUAUUUCUCAUUUGUACUACUGAAAAUUCAGGUUGAUUUCCUGGAUGGUUGAAAAGCCAAGGAAUUCUAUCUCUGCUUAGGCUCAAUGAUUUAUGGAUGAUAUGCUAGCUCUUUUUCUGUCCACCAACCUAACGUCACAGCAGCUUACAAGCUGCAGUGUCACUAAGACAGUUGUUAUUACUCUUUUUUAAGCCCAGCAGUUGCACUUGCUCUCAAUUCUUUAAAACAGUCAAUUGUGACAGUAACUAUGAUGUAUUCUUUCCCUUUGUACAGGAGACAGAAUUCUGCAGCACUGUUCAUCUAUCUGGUUCCCUUGCAGGCUUUUCACCUACUGCCGUAAUUUAUUUUUCUGAAGAAUACCUCUUGAGAAUAAACACAGAUAUAGGAAUAUUGUAUUGUUUAUGUGCAGUUGUGUGUGUGCCCAGUUUUCUUUUUAUACAACUUUGCUCUGUGCCUGAGGCUUUUUCCUCUAUUUAUUGCAUAUAUCUGCCCUCUUCCAUCCCACUUCAUUCUAUAGAUUAGCCUAAUCCAGACACUUUUUAGUGGCACUCCAUUAUGACACUUUACAACACUGCAUAGAUUGCCAAAUUAAAAAGUAAAGGUUUCAAAAAUCCUUAUUGUUAAGGAUAUUAUAUGAUCUGAUUUUCCCAAUAUUUCUUACUGUUCUGUUUUAACUCUAAGUUUACAUGAGUUAAAACAUUUAUCUUCUAGAUCUUUCCAGCUUUGUUACAGCAUUAUUUUUAUUGUGACAGUUUGUGAAGAGUGAAAAUUUUCAGAGUCAUAUUUUUGACUAUUUUUCUGGUUUUAUGAACUGGAAACUCUGGUGUGUAAAAUUAUCAGAAACUAGUAAUAGAUAAUAAAGGUUGCUCUAAGUAAGAUCAGAAUUAUUCAAUUUGCAUUUGCAUGCAAUGUUUCUCUGCCACCAGAUAAAGCAAAACUUUUACAGUAAUUUUGCCAUAUUAAGGUGUUGAACAGAAACGAAAACUGAUUAUCACAG